rnacentral:rRNA from 1 species
AAGCGACGUCAAAGCGUAUACAAAGUCGAGUCGGUUUAAGGAUACGUUCGUUGGGUAGGGGAGCGUUCUGUAAGCCUGUGAAGGUGUGUCGUGAGGCAUGCUGGAGGUAUCAGAAGUGCGAAUGCUGACAUAAGUAACGAUAAAGCGGGUGAAAAGCCCGCUCGCCGGAAGACCAAGGGUUCCUGUCCAACGUUAAUCGGGGCAGGGUGAGUCGACCCCUAAGGCGAGGCCGAAAGGCGUAGUCGAUGGGAAACGGGUUAAUAUUCCCGUACUUGGUGUUACUGCGAAGGGGGGACGGAGAAGGCUAUGUUGGCCGGGCGACGGUUGUCCCGGUUUAAGCGUGUAGGUGUGUGUUCCAGGUAAAUCCGGUUCACUUUAACACUGAGGCGUGAUGACGAGGCACUACGGUGCUGAAGCAACAAAUGCCCUGCUUCCAGGAAAAGCCUCUAAGCAUCAGGUAACAUCAAAUCGUACCCCAAACCGACACAGGUGGUCAGGUAGAGAAUACCAAGGCGCUUGAGAGAACUCGGGUGAAGGAACUAGGCAAAAUGGUGCCGUAACUUCGGGAGAAGGCACGCUGACACGUAGGUGAAGUGAUUUACUCAUGGAGCUGAAGUCAGUCGAAGAUACCAGCUGGCUGCAACUGUUUAUUAAAAACACAGCACUGUGCAAACACGAAAGUGGACGUAUACGGUGUGACGCCUGCCCGGUGCCGGAAGGUUAAUUGAUGGGGUCAGCGCAAGCGAAGCUCCUGAUCGAAGCCCCGGUAAACGGCGGCCGUAACUAUAACGGUCCUAAGGUAGCGAAAUUCCUUGUCGGGUAAGUUCCGACCUGCACGAAUGGCGUAAUGAUGGCCAGGCUGUCUCCACCCGAGACUCAGUGAAAUUGAACUCGCUGUGAAGAUGCAGUGUACCCGCGGCAAGACGGAAAGACCCCGUGAACCUUUACUAUAGCUUGACACUGAACAUUGAGCCUUGAUGUGUAGGAUAGGUGGGAGGCUUUGAAGUGUGGACGCCAGUCUGCAUGGAGCCGACCUUGAAAUACCACCCUUUAAUGUUUGAUGUUCUAACGUGGACCCGUAAUCCGGGUUGCGGACAGUGUCUGGUGGGUAGUUUGACUGGGGCGGUCUCCUCCUAAAGAGUAACGGAGGAGCACGAAGGUUGGCUAAUCCUGGUCGGACAUCAGGAGGUUAGUGCAAUGGCAUAAGCCAGCUUGACUGCGAGCGUGACGGCGCGAGCAGGUGCGAAAGCAGGUCAUAGUGAUCCGGUGGUUCUGAAUGGAAGGGCCAUCGCUCAACGGAUAAAAGGUACUCCGGGGAUAACAGGCUGAUACCGCCCAAGAGUUCAUAUCGACGGCGGUGUUUGGCACCUCGAUGUCGGCUCAUCACAUCCUGGGGCUGAAGUAGGUCCCAAGGGUAUGGCUGUUCGCCAUUUAAAGUGGUACGCGAGCUGGGUUUAGAACGUCGUGAGACAGUUCGGUCCCUAUCUGCCGUGGGCGCUGGAGAACUGAGGGGGGCUGCUCCUAGUACGAGAGGACCGGAGUGGACGCAUCACUGGUGUUCGGGUUGUCAUGCCAAUGGCACUGCCCGGUAGCUAAAUGCGGAAGAGAUAAGUGCUGAAAGCAUCUAAGCACGAAACUUGCCCCGA